GUCAAUUUCACGGUUUCCGAUGUUUACAUCUGAAAUUUCAUGGUGUUUAACCAUGGGGGUCCCGACCCAAAAGAGGAUCGUGAGGGUGCUGACAGUGGAGU